UCACUUAAGUAGCAGAUACGCUAGAAUUAAAACAAUACAUAGAGGGUUAGCAUGGCCUCUACACAAGGAUGAAAUCCAAAUGUGAGAAGUUUUCCUAUUUUUA